GGCUCAGAUGGUAAAGCAUCUGCCUGCAAUGCGGGAGACCCGGGUUCGAUUCCUGG
rnacentral:tRNA from 1 species